rnacentral:sRNA from 1 species
UUGCUAUCCUGGAGAAUUAAGUCCUCCAUUUAUCGACAGAACACGUGCAGCUUUGGCACGGGGGGUGUAAAUCCCCCACUGUUUCCUGUCAAUGCUCUCUGCCUGGCUUGGGAGAAGCACAUCUAGAGAGGAUUGCUCAGACUGUGCAGACACCCUGACUCU